UACAGAGGUCUCAAGCGUUGUUCGGAUUCAUUGGGCGUAAAGGGUGCGUAGGCGGCGCGGUAAGUCGGGUGUGAAAUCUGGGCUUAACUCCGAAACUGCAUUCGAUACUGCCGUGCUUGAGGACUGGAGAGGAGACUGGAAUUUACGGUGUAGCGGUGAAAUGCGUAGAUAUCGUAAGGGAAGACCAGUGGCGAAGGCGGGUCUCUGGACAGUUCCUGACGCUGAGGCACGGAAGGUCAGGGGAGCAAACGGG
rnacentral:rRNA from 1 species